AAAUCCUUUUAAUUUUGUCCUGUGAGGCAAGCAAAGGAAUAACAAAUUCAUUUAAAUAAAAUUUAACUAUGUAUUUUUGUUAUACCUAAGCCUUACAGAAAAAGAGGUUUAGGUAUUUUUAUU
rfam:Mycoplasma penetrans HF-2 DNA, complete genome.